GGACGAACGCUGGCGGCGUGCUUAACCCAUGCAAGUCGUACGGUAGGGCCCUUUCGGGGGUACACGAGUGGCGAACGGGUGAGUAACACGUGAGUAACCUGCCCACAACUUUGGGAUAACGCUAGGAAACUGGUGCUAAUACUGGAUAUGUGCUCCUGCUGCAUGGUGGGGGUUGGAAAGCUCCGGCGGUUGUGGAUGGACUCGCGGCCUAUCAGCUUGUUGGUGGGGUAGUGGCCUACCAAGGCGGCGACGGGUAGCCGGCCUGAGAGGGUGACCGGCCACAUUGGGACUGAGAUACGGCCCAGACUCCUACGGGAGGCAGCAGUGGGGAAUAUUGCACAAUGGGCGCAAGCCUGAUGCAGCAACGCCGCGUGCGGGAUGACGGCCUUCGGGUUGUAAACCGCUUUCAGCAGGGACGAAGCUUUUUGUGACGGUACCUGCAGAAGAAGCACCGGCUAACUACGUG
rnacentral:rRNA from 1 species